GCACGGGUUUGGCUUUACGGCAGGCCCGUCCCCUGGGCCUCUCAUAGUGUCCCGUGCCAGAGCAGACUGGCCCUGAACCAUUGCCUGGCCUCUGCCCGUAGGCUGCAGGCACUGAAGCGGGUUGCACAGUG
ensembl:snoRNA SNORA80B small nucleolar RNA, H/ACA box 80B